rnacentral:rRNA from 1 species
UACGAGGGGGGCAAGCGUUGUUCGGAAUUAUUGGGCGUAAAGGGCGCGUAGGCGGCGCGGUAUGUCUCUUGUGAAAUCUCCAGGCUCAACUUGGAGUCUGCAAGGGAAACUGCCGUGCUUGAGUACUGGAGAGGUGAGUGGAAUUCCCGGUGUAGCGGUGAAAUGCGUAGAUAUCGGGGAGGAACACCUGUGGCGAAAGCGGCUCACUGGACAGUAACUGACGCUGAUGGCGCGAAAGCUAGGGGAGCAAACAGG